AGUGAACGCUGGCGGUGGGCCUAACACAUGCAAGUCGAACGGCAGCACAGUAAGAGCUUGCUCUUACGGGUGGCGAGUGGCGGGCGUGUGAGGCAUACAUCGGGAUCUUCUUUUUCGUGGGGGAUCACGUAGGGAAACUUACGCUCAUACCGCAUAUGACCUACGGGUGAAAGCAGGGGAUCUUCGGAGCUUGCGCGAUUGAAUGAGCCGAUGUCGGAUUAGCUAGUUGGCUGGGCAAAGGCCCAGCAGGUCGACGAUCCGUAGCUGGUCUGAGAGGAGGGUAAGCGACACUAGAAGGGAGACACGGUCAAGACUACUACGGGAGGCAGCAGUGGGGAAUAUUGGACAAUGGGCGCAAGCCUGAUCCAGUCAGAGCGCGUAGGAGAAGAAGACCUUCGGGGUGUAAAGCCCUUUUGUUGGGAGAGAAAAGCAGCCGGCUAAUACGAAGCUGUUCUGACGGUACCCAAUGAAGAAGCACCGGCUAACUACGUG
rnacentral:rRNA from 1 species